CCUACGGGGGGCAGCAGUGAGGAAUAUUGGUCAAUGGCCGGAAGGCUGAACCAGCCAUGCCGCGUGAAGGUCAGUGCCCUAUGGGCGUUAAACUUCUUUUGUGCGGGAGCACUAAUAGUCACGUGUGGCCAGACGAGAGUACCGUACGAAUAAGCAUCGGCUAACUCCGUGACAGCAGCCGCGGUAAUACGGGGGAUGCAAGCGUUAUCCGGAUUUAUUGGGUUUAAAGGGUGCGUAGGCUGGGAGUUAAGUCAGCGGUGAAAGGCCCCCGCUCAACGGGGUGAAGUGCCAUUGAUACGGCCUUGCUGGAAUGCGGAUGCCGUGGGAGGAAUGUGUGGUGUAGCGUGGAAAUGCAUAGAUAUCACACAGAACACCGAUUGAGAAGGCAUCUGCCGAAUCCGCGAUUGACGCUGAUGCACGAAAGCGUGGGUAUCAAACAGGAUUAGAUACCCCGGUAGUC
rnacentral:rRNA from 1 species